GAGGAGGAAGAGGCAGCAGAAGAACAGAUGAAAGAACAGACAGAGAGAUUGAGGGAGGAGCUGAGCUGUUAGUGAACUAUAGAAGAGACACAAACUUCCACUUUAACACAGUUCAACACACAAAAGCCAAACAUCAUCUUUCUCCAACAUGCUGUCUGUGCAGACAUCUGUGUUCACUCUGCUGCUUCUAGUCAUUGGAACAGAUGUCAGCUGUGAAGAACUCACUGCAGUCAAGAAGGAAGAGUCCACUUUGGAAGGAGCUUCCGUCACUCUGUCCUACAAAUAUCCCAAACUCUCUACUGGAGAUUAUUUCUUCUGGUAUCGACAAAUUCCAGGAAAACCUCCAGAAUUGAUGAUCUCUCAUUCUUCUUCGGGAGCAACAGGAAAUGAAAAAGUCAAAGGACUGAAAAUUCAAGUGAAGAACAAACAGAUAGAUCUGCAGAUCUCCUCUGCUGCAGUGACAGAGUCUGCUGUGUACUACUGUGCUGUGAAGCCCACAGUGACAGGAAACAACAAAACUCUGUACAAAAACCGACAACAACAAAACACUUAACAACAUCCACUAGAGGACGCUCCAAUACCAAAAUCGUUCAUGUUGAGAGAACAGAACUGAUCAAGAAUAAACCCAGAGAAAGUUCUAGUGUGAGCAGAGGGGACACAAGUGCAGAAAAUCAAUUCUGGGGAAAAAAAGGAAAAAAUAA